rnacentral:rRNA from 1 species
UACGAAGGGGGCUAGCGUUGCUCGGAAUCACUGGGCGUAAAGGGUGCGUAGGCGGGUUUUUAAGUCAGGGGUGAAAUCCUGGAGCUCAACUCCAGAACUGCCUUUGAUACUGAAGAUCUUGAGUCCGGGAGAGGUGAGUGGAACUGCGAGUGUAGAGGUGAAAUUCGUAGAUAUUCGCAAGAACACCAGUGGCGAAGGCGGCCAACUGGUCCGAUACUGACGCUGAGGCGGCGAAAGCGUGGGGAGCAAACAGG